rfam:Lentinula edodes NBRC 111202 DNA, contig: scaffold625.
ACACCGUUGGUGAAGUGGUUAUCAUGCUUGCCUUCCAUUCAGAUCAGCAAGCGGCUCGGGUUCGAUUCCCGAACGGUGUA